CUACGGGCGGCAGCAGUGGGGAAUAUUGGACAAUGGGGAAACCCUGAUCCAGCAAUGCCGCGUGUGUGAAGAAGGCCUGCGGGUUGUAAAGCACUUUCGGUUGGGAGGACUGCUUCUAGCACUAAUAUUGUUGGAAGUUGACGUUACCUUCAGAAGAAGCACCGGCUAACUCCGUGCCAGCAGCCGCGGUAAUACGGAGGGUGCAAGCGUUGAUCGGAAUUACUGGGCGUAAAGCGCGCGUAGGCGGCUAGAUCAGUCGGGUGUGAAAGCCCCGGGCUUAACCUGGGAACUGCAUCCGAUACUGUCUAGCUUGAGUACAGGAGAGGAGAGUGGAAUUCCACAUGUAGCGGUGAAAUGCGUAGAUAUAUGGAGGAACACCAAUGGCGAAGGCAGCUCUCUGGCCUGAUACUGACGCUGAGGUGCGAAAGCGUGGGGAGCAAACAGGAUUAGAUACCCCAGUAGUC
rnacentral:rRNA from 1 species